UCAACAGGGUGUACUGUAGAUUAUACACUGGGACGUGAGGUGCUAUCACGUCAUUUUCCUUAAUGUAGCACUUCUGUGGGAAAAGCUCCUGUUUCGAUCAAUAUUGGUUUUUCUAGUAAGAUAACAGACAGAUAGACAAGGUCAACAGAAAGUGUCAUUGUCACACAUAAUGUUUUAUGUAAAAGAUCUGGUCGUGUUUAGAUAAUUACAUGUAUCAUAUUUAUUUAGUUAAUAUUAUAUAACAGGUGUGGUAUAUUAACAUAAAUACUGAAACAUUUCAAUCUUGAACAUUGUUUUUUUAAGCCUUUCAGUUUGUGGACCUUUCAGUUGCCUUAUUUCCCUCUACAUUCUUACUGAUUUACUACCAAGGUGAGACCAUGGUGAUUGAGGGACUUCACAGAGAGGGUGAGAUUCAAUCCAAGGCGUUUUAUAGACCAGCACACUGGUAAUCCAACAAUGCGCCUUUGAAAGUUAAUUUCCCUGACGUCCGUGGAGAUCACAUUCAAUGUAAACAUUGCGCAUGUCAACUCAAGCAUAAAUUACCUUUAAAAGUCAAGAACCACCUUUACGCUGCUCUGUAAACGUGCCUUGGAUUGAAUCCAGGACUUAGUUGUUCAGGCUCUGAGUGUUGAGCCUGGGGAACGGACACACGCCGCUCUGUGUCCUCACAUCCAUCACCAUGUCCAACCUCUUUUACUGAUGUACUCAGCACAGACAGAGAUGUUCUUCGGCUCAUUUCUCACCUACAGUAUGUUUAAGAGACAAAAGCAGAGAGGAGAUGUGUUUUUCUCUGCUGGUGUGUUGGAUUUUGUUUUUCUCUGCUGGUGUGUUGGACUUUGUUUUUCUCUGACAGUGUGUUGGAUUUUGUUUUUCUCUGACAGUGUGUUUUUCUCUGCUGGUGUGUUGGAUUUUGUUUUUCUCUGCUGGUGUGUUGGACUUUGUUUUUCUCUGACAGUGUGUUGGAUUUUGUUUUUCUCUGACGGUGUGUUGGACUUUGUUUUAAUCUGAUGUUUUUUUGGACUUUGUUUUUCUCUGACUGUGUGUUUUACCUUGUUUUUCUCUGACUGUGUGUCAGUAAAUAAAUGAACACAGCAACA